GAUUGCGGAUUGGCUGAAGGGUUAAAUUAUUUAGCAGGAUGAUAUUCACGUCCAUCCAUCGCAGGGGAAUGAAGUUAGAGAAAGACGGAUACCUUAAAGAUACCCGAGAUGAGAGUUAAAACAAUGCUGUUGACCACUUGUGACCAGUAAACACCCUCUGUAUUUACAUCUCUUUUGGAAACUCACCUCUUCUGCAAUCCACACAACGGGUAUCAUCAGCAAUUCAUUGUUCUUGCUGAUAACGUGACAAGCAGAAUCCUUACUAGCUGGCCUUUCAUGUUCUGUCAGAUUUUUCCUGAAUACUGCCGUCUUUCAAUGGAGAGCUGAUGGAGCAUUUUGUCUCUGAUUUUCUUGCCUCUCAAGCUAUA
rnacentral:lncRNA from 1 species